rnacentral:rRNA from 1 species
GGCUUAGAGUUUGAUCAUGGCUCAGGAUGAACGCUGGCGGCGUGCUUAACACAUGCAAGUCGAGCGAAGCACUUGAGAUCGAUUUCUUCGGAAUGAAACCUCAUUUGACUGAGCGGCGGACGGGUGAGUAACGCGUGGGUGACCUGCCCCAUACCGGGGGAUAACAGCUGGAAACGGCUGCUAAUACCGCAUAAGCGCACGAAGCUGCAUGGCUCAGUGUGAAAAACUCCGGUGGUAUGGGAUGGGCCCGCGUCUGAUUAGGCAGUUGGCGGGGUAAGAGCCCACCAAACCGACGAUCAGUAGCCGACCUGAGAGGGCGACCGGCCACAUUGGGACUGAGACACGGCCCAAACUCCUACGGGAGGCAGCAGUGGGGAAUAUUGCACAAUGGGGGAAACCCUGACGCAGCGACGCCGCGUGAGCGAAGAAGUAUUUCGGUAUGUAAAGCUCUAUCAGCAGGGAAGAUAAUGACGGUACCUGACUAAGAAGCCCCGGCUAACUACGUGCCAGCAGCCGCGGUAAUACGUAGGGGGCAAGCGUUAUCCGGAUUUACUGGGUGUAAAGGGAGCGUAGACGGCGAAGCAAGUCUGGUGUGAAAACCCGGGGCUCAACCCCGGGCCUGCAUUGGAAACUGUUUUGCUUGAGUGCCGGAGAGGUAAGCGGAAUUCCUAGUGUAGCGGUGAAAUGCGUAGAUAUUAGAGGAACACCAGUGGCGAAGCGGCUUACUGGACGGCAACUGACGUUGAGGCUCGAAAGCGUGGGGAGCAACAGGAUUAGAUACCCUGGUAGUCCACGCCGUAAACGAUGAAUGCUAGUGUUGGGUGUCAAAGACAUUCGGUGCCGCCGCAACGCAUUAAGCAUCUACCU